UGGGGCUCAGGCAGCCUUUCACGGCCAGCAUGCCUCUGAUCUUCCGGCCACAGUGAGGGUGGGCGUGCUGUGUGGUCCGGUGCUUGCGCCCCCAAGUCUGCAGUGAGGCCUGGCUGGGGAGCCGCUGAGAUCACCUGCUCCAGCUCUGCCACCCUCUCUCCGUCCCGUCCUCCCCAGGGAAGCCCUUCCUAGUUUUCUGCGCAGGCCUGUGAAUCCCCUUCUUCCUCUUUCCCUGCUUCUUUCUCCUUAGGGUUUAGACUUUGGAGAAACCAAAACAGAAAGACCUGCCUGGAGCUCCCACACGGACCCCUCCCUAGAGCCCCAGAUUCUACUGGCCCCCACUGGAACAGGGGAGGAAGCAGAGGAAGAAGUUCUCACAGGAGGCACUCCCUGAACAAAAGCUGCAGGAGGACCAUACAGGCCAAACUGCCAAACUCAGACCAGCACCUGCUGGGCCGAGGCCACGGGGACGCCUGGUCUUCUCCUACCCAUACCCACCACGGCCGCUGGGCAGAGGACAUGGGGGACCCACGGGGGCCUGACUGCUGGGAAUACCCAUUGGCUUGAGCAGAUGUGAGUCAACAAGACUCAGACAAUGACGUGGGCUCUAAGAAGGUGGCAGUUACGUGAACUGUGAAGCUCAGUUCCUCCCGUUUGUUCAGAGCCUCCGGGCGGCAUUUUUCUAAAGUGCAGAGUGCAGCAGCCUCUGCAUCACCCCACUGCAGGGAGAGAGCCACGCCCUUUGCAGUUGUGAAACCAGACCCGCUGGACAGUUCGCCUCCAAGCACACAGUGCAUAUUGGAUACUGACAGGCCAGGGUGGCAGUGGGGCUCCUGGGACCCACGUGACAGGACAAGAGCUGAGGCUCAGCCA
rnacentral:lncRNA from 10 species